rnacentral:rRNA from 1 species
AUUGAACGCUGGCGGCAGGCCUAACACAUGCAAGUCGAACGAGUGGCGGACGGGUGAGUAAUGUCUGGGAAACUGCCUGAUGGAGGGGGAUAAAUACUGGAAACGGUAGCUAAUACCGCAUACCAUCGGAUGUGCCCAGAUGGGAUUAGCUAGUAGGUGGGGUAAAGGCUCACCUAGGCGACGAUCCCUAGCUGGUUUGAGAGGAUGACCAGCCCGACUGGAACUGAGACACGGUCCAGACUCCGACGGGAGGCAGCAGUGGGGAUGAGUGCACAAGGGGCGCAAGACAGAUGCAGCCAUGCCGAGUGUAUGAAGAAGGCCUUCGGGUUGUAAAGUACUGUCAUCGGGGAGGCGUUACCCGCAGAAGAAGUGCCGGCUAACUCCGUGCCAGCAGCCGCGGUAAUAC